UGCGGAGUGCAGAGCCACCCAAUAAAUUAAAGAAAAGAAGAUGUACGCCGGCUCUGCCUUGUCUUCCUUUUCAACUAGACCCACCAUCAACACCACAAGGUUGGCUACUUGCAGUAGGAAAGCCCAUCCGAUCAGAGCAAUGAGAGCCGUCGUUCAGCGUGUUGCCUCCGCAAGCGUCGAGGUCGAGGGGCGCAUCGUAUCAGAAAUUGGUCCCGGCCUGCUCGUCCUCGUCGGACUCCACGAGUCAGAUUCCGAUGCCGAUGCAGACUACAUCUGUAGAAAGGUCCUGAAUAUGAGGUUAUUUCCUAAUGAGAAUACCGGCCGAGGAUGGGACCAAAAUGUAAUGCAGAGAAAUUAUGAAGUUCUUCUAGUCAGUCAGUUUACAUUGUAUGGAAUCUUGAAGGGUAACAAGCCGGACUUUCACGUCGCAAUGCCGCCCCAGACCGCAAAGCCCUUCUAUGCGUCUCUAGUAGAGAGGUUUCAGAAAUCCUAUAAUCCAGACGCCAUAAAAGGGACUUGCCCGGAAACCGUAGAUAACAAUUUUUGUGGUUCCUGUCGUCUCCCAUGAUUGUUCCUCAAAGCAAGCAUGCACCAGUUUCAAUAUUCCUACUACACUAUGAGGCCUUUCAAUAUGGCGUAUUUGGAGCAAUGAUGAAGGUCAGUUUGGUUAACGAUGGACCAGUCACUAUGCAGCUAGACUCACAAUCCCCAAAGAAUUCAAAUGAUGCAGUAGAAGAAUCAUAAUGACAGAUUAUUCUUGGAUUGUGUUUCUAGUUUUCUUAUAUGCUGCAUUACUUGGCAAGUAGUUUAGCAGGAUGUAAGACAUGAUUUAUUAAUUAUAAGCUCUUCAUCUGUUGCUGUGA